CUCGAGAAGCCCGGAGGCUCGUUCCCGAACGCCGGCAAGUGGUACCGUCAUUUGUGCUCUCCCACAAAGGAAUGCACAACAAUUACAAAGUUCAGCUGCAAAUUCGAAAGUACAUCUGCAAACCAAUUCGGUACCAAAGACAGAACUAGGAGGGUGGACGUCAGUGAAGUCAGCAAAGCAACUUUUGCUUCUAAUAUGCCAAUUAUGAAGCACGGGCAAAAAGAUGUGUUAUCAAACAGAAAGGUCAGGGUGGAUGAAAGAGACUGUCGACUUGCCAUUGAGUCGGAUGAGGAGAUUGACAGUGGAUUUCCUUGCUUGUUUGAUGACAGGGAGACGGGUAAAACUAAUUUCUAUUCCUUAUGGAAUGAUAAGUACCCGUCAGCUGCUACUAGUUGGGAAGUAAAUGGAAGUAUCACCAGAUUUACAAAGGCAUUCAGGACCAAGAUUAAGUCCAUCAGCUCCACUUAAGAUUGACA